rnacentral:rRNA from 1 species
AGAUUGAACGCUGGCGGCAUGCCUUACACAUGCAAGUCGAACGGCAGCACGGGAGCAAUCCUGGUGGCGAGUGGCGAACGGGUGAGUAAUACAUCGGAACGUGCCCAAUCGUGGGGGAUAACGGCAGCGAAAGCUGUGCUAAUACCGCAUAAGAUCUACGGAUGAAAGCAGGGGAUCGCAAGACCUUGCGCGAAUGGAGCGGUCCGAUGGCAGAUUAGGUAGUGGUGAGGUAAGGCUCACCAAGCCUUCGAUCUGUAGCUGGUCUGAGGAGGACGACCGAGCCUACACGUCGGGACUGAGACACGGCCCAGACUCCGACGGGAGCAGCGAGUAGGGGUAAUUUUGGAACAAGUGGGACGAA